CUGGGCGUUAAGUUGCAGGGUAUAGACCCGAAACCCGGUGAUCUAGCCAUGGGCAGGUUGAAGGUUGGGUAACACUAACUGGAGGACCGAACCGACUAAUGUUGAAAAAUUAGCGGAUGACUUGUGGCUGGGGGUGAAAGGCCAAUCAAACCGGGAGAUAGCUGGUUCUCCCCGAAAGCUAUUUAGGUAGCGCCUCGUGAAUUCAUCUCCGGGGGUAGAGCACUGUUUCGGCAAGGGGGUCAUCCCGACUUACCAACCCGAUGCAAACUGCGAAUACCGGAGAAUGUUAUCACGGGAGACACACGGCGGGUGCUAACGUCCGUCGUGAAGAGGGAAACAACCCAGACCGCCAGCUAAGGUCCCAAAGUCAUGGUUAAGUGGGAAACGAUGUGGGAAGGCCCAGACAGCCAGGAUGUUGGCUUAGAAGCAGCCAUCAUUUAAAGAAAGCGUAAUAGCUCACUGGUCGAGUCGGCCUGCGCGGAAGAUGUAACGGGGCUAAACCAUGCACCGAAGCUGCGGCAGCGACGCUUAUGCGUUGUUGGGUA
rnacentral:rRNA from 1 species